rnacentral:tRNA from 3 species
GGUGUAGCGCAGUUGGUAGCGCGCUUGGUUCGGGACCAAGAGGCCGUGGGUUCAAAUCCCGCCAC